UACAGAGGUCUCAAGCGUUGUUCGGAUUCAUUGGGCGUAAAGGGUGCGUAGGUGGCGGGGUAAGUCAGGUGUGAAAUCUCGAGGCUCAACCUCGAAACUGCACUUGAUACUGCCGUGACUCGAGUCCGGUAGGGGAGUGUGGAAUUCCCGGUGUUGCGGUGAAAUGCGCAGAUAUCGGGAGGAACACCAGUAGCGAAGGCGGCACUCUGGGCCGUGACUGACGCUGAGGAGCGAAAGCGUGGGUAGCAAACAGG
rnacentral:rRNA from 1 species